AUUGAACGCUGGCGGCAGGCCUAACACAUGCAAGUCGAGCGGAUGAAGGGAGCUUGCUCCUGGAUUCAGCGGCGGACGGGUGAGUAAUGCCUAGGAAUCUGCCUGGUAGUGGGGGAUAACGUCCGGAAACGGGCGCUAAUACCGCAUACGUCCUGAUGUAGAAAGUGGGGGAUCUUCGGACCUCACGCUAUCAGAUGAGCCUAGGUCGGAUUAGCUAGUUGGUGGGGUAAAGGCCUACCAAGGCGACGAUCCGUAACUGGUCUGAGAGGAUGAUCAGUCACACUGGAACUGAGACACGGUCCAGACUCCUACGGGAGGCAGCAGUGGGGAAUAUUGGACAAUGGGCGAAAGCCUGAUCCAGCCAUGCCGCGUGUGUGAAGAAGGUCUUCGGAUUGUAAAGCACUUUUAGUUGGGAGGAAGGGAAGUAAGUUAAUCCCUUGCUGUUUUGACGUUACCAACAGAAUAAGCACCGGCUAACUUCGUG
rnacentral:rRNA from 1 species